rnacentral:rRNA from 1 species
UACGUAGGGCGCAAGCGUUAUCCGGAAUUAUUGGGCGUAAAGAGCUUGUAGGCGGUCUGUCGCGUCUGCUGUGAAAAUCCGGGGCUCAACCCCGGACUUGCAGUGGGUACGGGCAGACUAGAGUGUGGUAGGGGAGACUGGAAUUCCUGGUGUAGCGGUGAAAUGCGUAGAUAUCGGGAGGAACACCUGCGGCGAAGGCGGCGUCCUGGACCUGGCCUGACGCUCAGGAGCGAAAGCGUGGGGAGCGAUCCGG